UCACCCCCUCCCUCCCUCGGCGUACCCAUUCCUCUUGGUACUCGGCUUCUGUGCAUCAGUAUCUCCUCCCUCACCUCCCUUUCGCGUCAUCUACCAUCCAUCUGAUGGUCCAACCGUCCCUUUGCCUCCCAUCUCCCACCCUAUUUGGAAUACAGUGAGGAAUAUCUCAUGCCUGUCAUUAAGCAAAGAUUUCUCCAUCUUCUCUCCCUCCCCUCUUCCCUUUAUUUCCGAUUGGAAGCAUUCUAAUCGUUCAGAUUUAACUUUUCAAUUUUUCACCUACAUGAGCCCAGCAUUAUGGAUCCAGCAAGUCAUCAAAUAAUUUUGGAUCAUUUCUGUACCAUCGAGGGUCAUGUAAGUCCCCCAGAAACUUGAAGUUGAUUGCAAUUAAAAAGCGAGGCCCAGUCGAUGUUUUCAGCCGCAGGCAACGUCAGUGUUCAUGAAUUCAUUUGGCCGCUUGCACACAUGGAGGUAGUGCAUCAUCCCCCUGGGCAGCAUCAGUAAUUCCUGACUCAUGAUCAUCAAACUUAUUGCUACAAAAUCUGACCGCCUGCAGUGGCUGAUGAAUUGUCAUCUGGGGAUUGUGGAUUGGAUCCCCAGGGAACGCUAAAACUACAAUGCCCAUUGUUUCAUUAUCGAGUGGGCUCUCGUGGAGGAUUGUGGCUGAUCAGGUUUUUCUGUAAUUCAGAGAGCAUCAAGCACGUCAAGAUGCCCUCCACUUCUUCCGUACCCCACGAUUUCGUCGUGGGAUUUCGAUAAGUUUGUGGAGGAUCGAGGGGAGAAGACGCCAAUUUCAUGAUUCUUGUUUGUUGUCCGAGUGUUUUCGUCUUUGGCAGUUCUGCUAUCAAGAGAGAUAUGAGGAGAUAUUUUUAACGUAUUUCCUGAAUGAAUAUUUUCCUGUGGUUCUUUUUCAACUAGAUAUCACUUCAAUAUUCAAUUUUAUCAUUCAAUUAAGAACCCGUAUCAAAAGUCAUGACAUGAAUUUUUACGAGAGAUUCGUCAAACGAUUCUAUUCAUAUUUUAUCAGCGCUUUCUGCUUUAUAUCGGUCUGAUAAUUUCGUUAAAAUGCCGAACGGACUAAAUUUUUGCAGUUAAUAUUUUAUUAUCACGGGGACUCAUUAAAUGCAAAUAUCAUUUUAAAAACGCAUUCGCAUAGAACAUGGAAAGUAAUAGCGAAUCAUUUUAACCCCAUGAAACCAGAAAUGGACCAAAAUCGAAAAGAUAGGGAGAUGCACUCCCCUGUAUGGCCCCAGGUCGCUAAAACCUCAUCAAACCAAAGCAUAAAUUCAAACAAAAAUCCGGAGUAAUUGCGCUAAACCAGACGGACACGAUAAUCGGCUUAUCGUAAGUCGUGUUGGAAUGGUCCUAACCCGGGGAGCAUCCGGGAGACUCUGGUCUCUCUAUCUGGGCGGCACUGUCCUCCUGACAGAACUAAGAGACCAGGUGAGUCAAUGGAGAGCAUUGGGGAUCUACUAAGAAACUUCAAAGGAAACCGAUAAUGACCUACCCGGAGUGCCAGCCAAAGCGGCACUGCCGGAGUGGAAAAUGUGGGCCCGGUAGGCGCUCAACCCCUCUCGGCUCAGCUGGGUGGGGUAUGCCCUGCGCCCGGACGUGCUGCCACUGCUGGUAGUGUGGAUAGCCCCGACAAUAGGCUUUCCUGGAGCGCGCCGGGUUCAAACGGCACCGAUCGUCGGUCCCAACUACCCCUUCAGACCCCCCCCGCCGACGAAAUUGUCCACCCCAUCGAACAUGGAGCCCUCAUUAUGUAUUUUAAGUCUAUUUUUAAGGGCUGAUGGUCAGGACAUGACGUACCAAUUCAUAAUAAACUGGUUCAUCCCCUUCAACUCUUCGAAAUUGAUGCAUUUCUCUAAUUAGCGAUGUAAUCUCCGAGAUAUCACGACAUUCAGCAAUACUCCAAAUUACGGAGAGAGAUGAUUCACGCUAAUAAAACGUUCUAUUAAACGUUACUCCCAUUUCCUUGCCCCAACAACUGUGUACACGAGGGAUAAUGGUGCGUCAUUAGUCGUUCAACAUCCCAAGCACUGAAAAUGGCAAAUGCGAGGAUGUGGAGAAUGACGUGGUGGGAUGCCUACGUCAUUAUGGGAUUUGAUGUUCGAGUAAUAAAUUAGUUGAAACCAAAUCAAUAGAAGAUAUCCGAUCGAUUUCGGGGCUAUUGGCAAGUUGAAGCCACUCAGCUAUAAGAAAAUACAGUAAUUGAUGUUGACAUUUGUUAACGCGAAAAAUCAAUCUCGAUGAAUUUGUCUCCAGGAAUUUCACGUCUCUGGUUAUCCGACCAUUUUCCCAAACUGAGAAUUGUCAAAAAUAUUCGUUAGGGAAUUGGCACAUCCGUUCGUGCUCCAGCUCUAUCUCGAGUUAUCUUACACUCGACGACUGAAUCCUCUGAUAAUUUGAUUUUUAGUUUGAAAAAUACGUUUCUUCCGGGGCCUCAAUCUCUAACAAUCACUGGGUUAGUGAGGAUAGAUUCUUAAAGAUGACUGUACAAAUACCCCUGGGGUGAGGAGUGAGGCAGGAAGGAAAUUGCUGGGCAUUAACACAAUUAAAUGAGAUGAUUGUCGACGACAUUACGCUGACAUCUCUUGAGUUGCUUUCCCCGCUUUGGCUCCCCCUCUUUUUUUUGUACCGUUGAAUAUUUAGUUGGUUCUUUUUCUCAGUUUUUUUUUUCGGCUGAGUGUGGGUGAAGCGCACAAAUCACAGAUUGGCUUGUGCGUCACACAAUUGCCGAAGGAAAUGAGAUCAUGUUUGAGUGAUUGCGGGAUAGGAACGAUUUCUAAAUUUACUCCCUAUCUUUUCGACUUCUUUCGUUCAUGAAUAAUCACCGGGAACGAGAAUGUUGUGGCUAAUGAGGGAAUCUAGGUGGGCCUUGAAUUUCGACUCCCAAACCCACAAUUAAUCAUCACAAUAAAUAAAGAGUCAAGACAAUUUGCCUUCAAAAAUAAACAUUUAUUUCAAAAUGAAUGUCUUACGAGCUGAUUUCAAUUUUCAGUUGUGUUAUCAUCGUUCUCAUACCUUAAUCCUAACACUGACUGUGUAGGUUUCCAAAAAGUGUUUCCCUUUUUUUUUUUCUGAAUGUUGUGUUUGCUUUCGUUUAUCAGCGCGUCAUGUACAACAAUUAAAUUCACAUUAAAGGUUUACCUUAAAUUGAAUGACUCAACGUGAUGUUUAAUCAUAAUAUUUACGCGCCAUGGUACUAUUAUCAUACACAAUGAAAAAAGAAAAUUAAUAAUGAGAAAUAUUCAGACUCCUUGGCAAAAAUCACUUGACACGACGAGACAAAGGUUCAAUAACCUUCGUGAAUUAUUUCAAUUCAUUCGUGUUAAUUCGCACCCUCAAAACUCGUAGACUGAUAAACUUUUAAUGAAAUAGUACCGCUAAAUGUUCAUAUCACAUUGUUGAAUUACAUUUCAACCCGCUUUGUUUUUCAUUUUCUUGUGGUGAUUUGUGAUGAUUUGUUUCGUUUUAAAUUUACUUCAUUUAAGCGGCCUCCUUCGAUGAUUGCACCAGUUCACCGAAGGAAUUCUCCAUACAUUGUCUCAAUUCCGCGUAACUCACCACUAAUACACUUUGCUCGUCCCUUGAUAUGAGACAAAUCUGGACAAAAAAGAAUAAAAAUAU